GUUGGGUUGGGUUGAGUUGGGUUGGGUCCAGUUGAGUUGGGUUGUGUUGAGUUGGGUUGGUUGGGUUGAGUUGGGUUGGGUCCGGUUGGGUCCAGUUGGGUUGGGCUGGGUUAGAUUGAGUUGGGUUGGGUCUGGUUGAGUUGAGUUAGGUUGAGUUGGGUUGGGUUGGAUCCAGUUGAGUUGGGUUGAGUUGGGUUGGGUCCGGUUGA
rnacentral:lncRNA from 1 species